rnacentral:lncRNA from 1 species
CCUCGACGACGAUGACUCUCUAACGAAGGAUAUGCAAACCUACCUCUCUCUCUCUCUCUAACUCUCACUCACAGAUCCGUCGUCGGAUCUGAGGAGGAGGUCGAGGUCGCGGAGGAGGUUAGAGAGGGAGGCGGCAGCCAUGUCGAGGUCGCUCUACAUGUGGAGCUUCCCGCCGGAAAAUGACGAGUCGUUGCAUUGGUCGGAGAGAGCCUUGAGGCGCUGGAGAGUGGAGAGGAGGUUGGGGAGGAGAGUGUAGAGGAGAGGAUUCUCGGCCCAGUGGGGGGAGUCGGAGACGGAGGAGAUGGAGGAGUGGAGGGAGAGGAGGUUGGAGCGGAGGGGGUGCCAGCGGGAGGGGAAGGAUCGGACGGUGAGAGAGGUGCGGAGGAGGAGGGAGAGGGUCUCGUUGAUGAGGUCGAGGAGGGUUUGGAGUGGGGAGGAGGAGGAGGAGGUCUGCAUUGGGUCGAGUCUCCGGGCUAAGGCCGGGUCGGGUAGCCUCCUCCCAAGCGCCGGCGACGAAUGUAGCAAUGAUUUUUUUGUUGUUAAACUACUCUCUCUCUCUGCACCCAAAAUAUAAAAAUUACUAGGGGUAGUAAUUUUCUAUUAUUUGCUUGUGUGUUGAUUUUUCUCUAGAGAUAAUAGAUUGCAAGUUUACUACCCCCAGUAAAAGUUUAAUGGGGUAGUAAACUUUAUUUUUUUGCAUCUAAGUUGUUCUUCCUCUGUUUUAGUCUGUAUUAUGGCCUUGAAAGUAUUGUUUUGCAAGUUUACUACCCCCAAUAAAAGUUUACUGGGGUUAAUAACUUUAGUUUUUCGAAUCUAAAUUGUUCUUCCUCUGUUUUAGUUAUGUAUUAUGGCCUUGAAAAUACUGUUUUGCAAGUUUACUACCCCCAGUAAAAGUUUACUACGGGUAGUAAAUUUUAUUUUUUGCAUCUAAGUUGAUUUUUCUCCUUUUUAAUGUGUACUUAUGGCCUUGGAGAUAUUGUUUUGCAAGCUUACUACCCCCAGUAUAAGUUUACUGGAGGUAAUAAACUUUAUUUUUUCGCAUCUAGGUUGUUCUUCCUCUGUUUUAAUGUGUAUUAUGGCAUUGAAAAU